UACGAGGGGGGCAAAUGUUGUUCGGAAUCACUGGGCGUAAAGGGAGCGUAGGCGGGUUUCUAAGUCAGGUGUUUAAUCCCGGGGCCCAACCCCGGACAGGCACUUGAAACUGGGAAUCUUGAAUAGUGGAGAGGUCAGUGGAGUUGGGGGUGUAGCGGUGGAAUGCGUAGAGAUCCCCAAGAACACCAGUUGCGAAGGCGGCUGACUGGACACAUAUUGACGCUGAGGCUCGAAAGCAUGGGGAGCAAACAGG
rnacentral:rRNA from 1 species